UACGAAGGGGGGCUAGCGUUGUUCGGAAUUACUGGGCGUAAAGCGCGCGCAGGCGGUCUUCCAAGUCAGUGGUGAAAGCCCGGAGCUCAACUCCGGAACUGCCAUUGAAACUGUAAGACUUGAGGAUGAGAGAGGUGAGUGGAAUUCCCAGUGUAGAGGUGAAAUUCGUAGAUAUUGGGAAGAACACCGGUGGCGAAGGCGGCUCACUGGCUCAUUACUGACGCUCAGGCGCGACAGCGUGGGGAUCAAACAGG
rnacentral:rRNA from 1 species